CUCUAGCCGUUACAGAAUUAUAUCAAUUUGAGAGAGAAUCGUCCCUGCUUCGGCUGGCCCCAUGCUCCGAGAUAUUGGGGGAACCGUUCCUUGAUGCAUAUCUGCGGUCUGAGGAGGAGGGCACGCAGAGUGCUCCUGAUCCUGUACUCGCUGGUUUAGGGGAUUCUCCUCGAUUGAUUCCAGUUGUAUCUACCCAAGAUAAUGCAGAGACUGUUCUCCCUUCUACAGAAGUUGCAUCGUAGUCUUUGUUCCGAGGAUCUUACAAGCCAGAAACCAAGUCAGACCCAGGACUUCUGAGUGAUGCACCUGUUACCAGCAAUAGUCCCAGAUCUAGUGGGUUAGCACAUUUGUCGAUCACUGGUAAGGAGUGUUUCUUAUCGUAUGUGCCUUUAAUUUCUGUUUAUGUGUCUGCCCUUCUAAUGCUAAAUGUUACUCUACAGUCCUUGCUCUUGUAUGUUUCUAUUCUGCCUCGUUUGUUUCUCCCGUCGGAUUCUCCGCCUCUUAUUCCUCCUGAACCUCCUCCUUGUUUUCCUCUACUGGUUGGGUGACCCUGUUUUUCUUCUGUCACCCGUGGGGGAUCUAGUUGUUUUGGAGCGCCAGGAGUCGCUCCUUAAGGGGGGGGGGUACUGUCACGACACUCCUUAGCUGAUUUGCCCUCGUGCAGUACUCAUACUCACCACUGUUUCUGUUUGGCACUGUUCCUGAUUUCCUUUUUAUUAAGCACUUCACCUGGUCCUUGUUUAGCACCUAUUUAGUUUGGGUUCUCCCCUCACUCCUG